UUAAGCGACUAAGCGUACACGGUGGAUGCCCUGGCAGUCAGAGGCGAUGAAGGACGUGCUAAUCUGCGAUAAGCGUCGGUAAGGUGAUAUGAACCGUUAUAACCGGCGAUUUCCGAAUGGGGAAACCCAGUGUGAUUCGUCACACUAUCAUUAACUGAAUCCAUAGGUUAAUGAGGCGAACCGGGGGAACUGAAACAUCUAAGUACCCCGAGGAAAAGAAAUCAACCGAGAUUCCCCCAGUAGCGGCGAGCGAACGGGGAGCAGCCCAGAGCCUGAAUCAGUGUGUGUGUUAGUGGAAGCGUCUGGAAAGGCGUGCGAUACAGGGUGACAGCCCCGUACACAAAAAUGCACAUACUGUGAGCUCGAUGAGUAGGGCGGGACACGUGGUAUCCUGUCUGAAUAUGGGGGGACCAUCCUCCAAGGCUAAAUACUCCUGACUGACCGAUAGUGAACCAGUACCGUGAGGGAAAGGCGAAAAGAACCCCGGCGAGGGGAGUGAAAAAGAACCUGAAACCGUGUACGUACAAGCAGUGGGAGCACAGAUCAUCUGUGUGACUGCGUACCUUUUGUAUAAUGGGUCAGCGACUUAUAUUCUGUAGCAAGGUUAACCGAAUAGGGGAGCCGAAGGGAAACCGAGUCUUAACUGGGCGUUAAGUUGCAGGGUAUAGACCCGAAACCCGGUGAUCUAGCCAUGGGCAGGUUGAAGGUUGGGUAACACUAACUGGAGGACCGAACCGACUAAUGUUGAAAAAUUAGCGUAUGACUUGUGGCUGGGGGUGAAAGGCCAAUCAAACCGGGAGAUAGCUGGUUCUCCCCGAAAGCUAUUUAGGUAGCGCCUCGUGAAUUCAUCUCCGGGGGUAGAGCACUGUUUCGGCAAGGGGGUCAUCCCGACUUACCAACCCGAUGCAAACUGCGAAUACCGGAGAAUGUUAUCACGGGAGACACACGGCGGGUGCUAACGUCCGUCGUGAAGAGGGAAACAACCCAGACCGCCAGCUAAGGUCCCAAAGUCAUGGUUAAGUGGGAAACGAUGUGGGAAGGCCCAGACAGCCAGGAUGUUGGCUUAGAAGCAGCCAUCAUUUAAAGAAAGCGUAAUAGCUCACUGGUCGAGUCGGCCUGCGCGGAAGAUGUAACGGGGCUAAACCAUGCACCGAAGCUGCGGCAGCGACGCUUAUGCGUUGUUGGGUAGGGGAGCGUUCUGUAAGCCUGCGAAGGUGUGCUGUGAGGCAUGCUGGAGGUAUCAGAAGUGCGAAUGCUGACAUAAGUAACGAUAAAGCGGGUGAAAAGCCCGCUCGCCGGAAGACCAAGGGUUCCUGUCCAACGUUAAUCGGGGCAGGGUGAGUCGACCCCUAAGGCGAGGCCGAAAGGCGUAGUCGAUGGGAAACAGGUUAAUAUUCCUGUACUUGGUGUUACUGCGAAGGGGGGACGGAGAAGGCUAUGUUGGCCGGGCGACGGUUGUCCCGGUUUAAGCGUGUAGGCUGGUUUUCCAGGCAAAUCCGGAAAAUCAAGGCUGAGGCGUGAUGACGAGGCACUACGGUGCUGAAGCAACAAAUGCCCUGCUUCCAGGAAAAGCCUCUAAGCAUCAGGUAACAUCAAAUCGUACCCCAAACCGACACAGGUGGUCAGGUAGAGAAUACCAAGGCGCUUGAGAGAACUCGGGUGAAGGAACUAGGCAAAAUGGUGCCGUAACUUCGGGAGAAGGCACGCUGAUAUGUAGGUGAAGUCCCUCGCGGAUGGAGCUGAAAUCAGUCGAAGAUACCAGCUGGCUGCAACUGUUUAUUAAAAACACAGCACUGUGCAAACACGAAAGUGGACGUAUACGGUGUGACGCCUGCCCGGUGCCGGAAGGUUAAUUGAUGGGGUUAGCGCAAGCGAAGCUCUUGAUCGAAGCCCCGGUAAACGGCGGCCGUAACUAUAACGGUCCUAAGGUAGCGAAAUUCCUUGUCGGGUAAGUUCCGACCUGCACGAAUGGCGUAAUGAUGGCCAGGCUGUCUCCACCCGAGACUCAGUGAAAUUGAACUCGCUGUGAAGAUGCAGUGUACCCGCGGCAAGACGGAAAGACCCCGUGAACCUUUACUAUAGCUUGACACUGAACAUUGAGCCUUGAUGUGUAGGAUAGGUGGGAGGCUUUGAAGUGUGGACGCCAGUCUGCAUGGAGCCGACCUUGAAAUACCACCCUUUAAUGUUUGAUGUUCUAACGUUGACCCGUAAUCCGGGUUGCGGACAGUGUCUGGUGGGUAGUUUGACUGGGGCGGUCUCCUCCUAAAGAGUAACGGAGGAGCACGAAGGUUGGCUAAUCCUGGUCGGACAUCAGGAGGUUAGUGCAAUGGCAUAAGCCAGCUUGACUGCGAGCGUGACGGCGCGAGCAGGUGCGAAAGCAGGUCAUAGUGAUCCGGUGGUUCUGAAUGGAAGGGCCAUCGCUCAACGGAUAAAAGGUACUCCGGGGAUAACAGGCUGAUACCGCCCAAGAGUUCAUAUCGACGGCGGUGUUUGGCACCUCGAUGUCGGCUCAUCACAUCCUGGGGCUGAAGUAGGUCCCAAGGGUAUGGCUGUUCGCCAUUUAAAGUGGUACGCGAGCUGGGUUUAGAACGUCGUGAGACAGUUCGGUCCCUAUCUGCCGUGGGCGUGGAGAACUGAGGGGGGCUGCUCCUAGUACGAGAGGACCGGAGUGGACGCAUCACUGGUGUUCGGGUUGUCAUGCCAAUGGCACUGCCCGGUAGCUAAAUGCGGAAGAGAUAAGUGCUGAAAGCAUCUAAGCACGAAACUUGCCCCGAGAUGAGUUCUCCCUGACUCCUUGAGAGUCCUGAAGGAACGUUGAAGACGACGACGUUGAUAGGCCGGGUGUGUAAGCGCAGCGAUGCGUUGAGCUAACCGGUACUAAUGAACCGUGAGGCUUAACCUU
rnacentral:rRNA from 1 species